UACGUAGGGUGCAAGCGUUAAUCGGAAUUACUGGGCGUAAAGCGUGCGCAGGCGGUUUUUUAAGCCAGAUGUGAAAUCCCCGGGCUUAACCUGGGAACUGCAUUUGGGACUGGAAGGCUAGAGUAUGGCAGAGGGGGGUGGAAUUCCACGUGUAGCAGUGAAAUGCGUAGAGAUGUGGAGGAACACCGAUGGCGAAGGCAGCCCCCUGGGCCUAUACUGACGCUCAUGCACGAAAGCGUGGGGAGCAAACAGG
rnacentral:rRNA from 1 species